AGGAAGGCGAUAAGGUUAAUAACCUUGUCGAUUGACGUUACCCGCAGAAGAAGCACCGGCUAACUCCGUGCCAGCAGCCGCGGUAAUACGGAGGGUGCAAGCGUUAAUCGGAAUUACUGGGCGUAAAGCGCACGCAGGCGGUCUGUCAAGUCGGAUGUGAAAUCCCCGGGCUCAACCUGGGAACUGCAUUCGAAACUGGCAGGCUAGAGUCUUGUAGAGGGGGGUAGAAUUCCAGGUGUAGCGGUGAAAUGCGUAGAGAUCUGGAGGAAUACCGGUGGCGAAGGCGGCCCCCUGGACAAAGACUGACGCUCAGGUGCGAA
rnacentral:rRNA from 1 species